AUGGUGCUCGGCUACCCCGAUGAGGACGCUCAGUCCAUUGCCGAUCGGCUUAACUGCCGGCUGGGAUCUUUUCCCACGACCUAUCUGGGGAUCCCCAUUAGCGACUCGCGCCUCACCGUGGCGGACCUCCGCCCCACGGUGACCCGUAUGCAGCACCGAGUUGAGCCCUGGAAAGGGCGCUGGCUGUCGAAGGCGGCACGUGUGAUCCUUAUCAACUCGUCGCUUGCCAGCCUUCUGUGGUUCCUCAUGAGCUUUUACAGUCUUCAUGAAACCCUUCAUCAGGAGAUCGCCAAGUACCAGGCCAGAUUUUUCUGGGCUGGCGAGGCAGGCAGA
rnacentral:rRNA from 1 species